CAGCGCUGGUUCCUCCUCUUUCUGGUGGCAGCUCCUGGAUGCGUCCUGUCCCAGAUCCAGCUGCAGGAGUCGGGACCAAGCCUGGUGACGCCCUCGCAGACGCUGUCCCUCACCUGCUCGGUCUCUGGAUUCUCUCUAACCAGCAAUGAUGUAAGCUGGGUCCGCCAGGCCCCUGGAAAGGGGCUGGAUUGGAUUGGUGCUAUAUGGGCUGGUGGAACCACAAAGUAUAAUCCAAGUCUUCAGUCCCGAGUCAGCAUCUCCAGGGACACCUCCAAGAACCAAGUUUACCUAAAACUGAGCAACUCGGUAACUGAGGACACCGCCGUGUAUUACUGUGCAAGAUACACAAAAGUUCUUGUGACCGAUUUUAAAGGUCCAAGACUGAGAGCAAUCCAGGACGCCUUUAGUAAUGAGUAA